GUACUACUCCCUCCGUCCGGAAUUACUUGUCAUCAAAAUGGAUGAAAAUGGAUGUAUCUAGAAUUAAAAUACAUCUAUAUACAUCCAUUUCAAUGACAAGUAUUUCCGGACGGAGGGAGUAGUAA
rnacentral:pre_miRNA from 1 species